ACAGACGAGUUUGAUCAUGGCUCAGGAUGAACGCUGGCGGCAGGCCUAAUACAUGCAAGUCGAACGGGAUCCGGUGUAGUAAUACACUGGUGAGAGUGGCGCACGGGUGCGUAACACGUAUGCAACCUACCUUUAACCGGGACACAACCUCCGAAAGGGGGGCUAAUAUUCCAUGUGAUUAUUUUUUGGCAUCAAGAGAUAAUUAAAGAUUUAUUGGUUAAAGAUGGGCAUGCGUCCCAUUAGCUAGUUGGUGAGGUAACGGCUCACCAAGGCUAUGAUGGGUAGGGGUUCUGAGAGGAUAUACCCCCACACUGGUACUGAGACACGGACCAGACUCCUACGGGAGGCAGCAGUAAGGAAUAUUGGUCAAUGGGCGCAAGCCUGAACCAGCCAUGCCGCGUGCAGGAAGACGGCCCUAUGGGUUGUAAACUGCUUUUGUCAGGGGAUAAACCUAUCCACGAGUUGGGUAGCUGAAGGUACCUGAAGAAUAAGGAUCGGCUAACUCCGUG
rnacentral:rRNA from 1 species